GACCCGACUGCUAUUUGGGUGAGAAUAAGCCAUGCGAGUCGAAUGGGAUACCUAAAUUUCCCAUGGCAAACUGCUCAUUAACACAUGAUCAACUUACCCUAUAGAGAAAAAUAACCUCGGGAAACUGAGGAUAAUAUUUCGUAGUUGAAUAGGCUUGGAAAAGUUUUUCAAUAAAAGGGAUAAAAAAAAUGGUUUUUAUCUGCUAUAGGAUAGGAUCGUGGACGAUUAUGGUUGUUGGUGAGGUAACGGCUCACCAAGCCGAUAAUCGAUAGGGGCCGUGAGAGCGGGAGCCCCGAGAUGGGUACUGAGACAACGACCCAGGCCUUACGAGGCGCAGCAGGCGCGGAACCUCCGCAAUACACGAAAGUGUGACGGGGUUACCCAAAGUGUUCAAUUCUGAACUGUGGUAGGUGAGUAAUGUUCCCUACUAGAAAGGAGAGGGCAAGGCUGGUGCCAGCCGCCGCGGUAAAACCAGCUCUUCAAGUGGUCGGGAUAAUUAUUGGGCUUAAAGUGUCCGUAGCCGGUUUGGUAAGUUCCUGGUAAAAUCGGGUAGCUUAACUAUCCGUAUGCUAGGAAUACUGCUAUACUAGAGGGCGGGAGAGGUCUGAGGUACUACAGGGGUAGGGGUGAAAUCUUAUAAUCCUUGUAGGACCACCAGUGGCGAANGCGACAGACUGGAACGCGCCUGACGGUGAGGGACGAAAGCCAGGGGAGCGAACCGGAUUAGAUACCCGGGUAGUCCUGGCCGUAAACGAUGCAUACUNNGUGAUGGUACGGCCAUGAGCCGUAUCAGUGCC
rnacentral:rRNA from 1 species